rnacentral:rRNA from 1 species
AGCAGCCGCGGUAAUUCCAGCUCCAAUAGCGUAUAUUAAAGUUGUUGCAGUUAAAAAGCUCGUAGUUGAAUUUCGGGGUUAGUAGGUUGGUCGUGCCACCGGUAUGUACUGGCUCUACUGAUCCCUCCUUCUUGUAGAACCGUAAUGCCAUUAACUUGGUGUUGCGGGGAAACAGGACUGUUACUUUGAAAAAAUUAGAGUGUUUAAAGCAGGCUAACGCUUGAAUACAUUAGCAUGGAAUAAUGAAAUAGGACGCUCGAUCCUAUUUUGUUGGUUUCUAGGAUUGACGUAAUGAUUAAUAGGGAUAGUUGGGGGCAUUAGUAUUCAAUUGUCAGAGGUGAAAUUCUUGGAUUUAUUGAAGACUAACUACUGCGAAAGCAUUUGCCAAGGAUGUUUUCAUUAAUCAAGAACGAAAGUUAGGGGAUCGAAGACGAUCAGAUACCGUCGUAGUCUUAACCAUAAACUAUGCCGACUAGGGAUCGGAUGAUGUUAAUUUUUUAAUGACUCAUUCGGCGCCUUACG